rnacentral:rRNA from 1 species
CAAUAUGAAGGUCAGGCUGAAGACCUUACCCGAUUAGCUGAGAGGUGGUGCAUGGCCGUCGUCAGUUCGUACUGUGAAGCAUCCUGUUAAGUCAGGCAACGAGCGAGACCCACGUCCACAGUUGCCAGCAUACCCUCCGGGGUGAUGGGUACACUGUGGAGACCGCCGCUGCUAAAGCGGAGGAAGGAGUGGGCAACGGUAGGUCAGUAUGCCCCGAAUCUCCCGGGCUACACGCGGGCUACAAUGGUUGGUACAAUGGGCAUCUACCCCGAAAGGGGAAGGAAAUCUCUUAAAGCCAAUCGUAGUUCGGAUUGAGGGCUGCAACUCGCCCUCAUGAAGCUGGAAUCCGUAGUAAUCGCCGUUUCAACAGAACGCGGUGAAUACGUCCCUGCUCCUU